UACGUAGGUGACAAGCGUUGUCCGGAUUUACUGGGCGUAAAGAGCGCGCAGGCGGUCGUUCAAGUCGAGUGUGAAAGCCCCAGGCUCAACCUGGGAAGUGCACUCGAUACUGCGUGGCUUGAGUAUCGGAGAGGUUGGUGGAAUUCUCGGUGUAGAGGUGAAAUUCGUAGAUAUCGAGAGGAACACCGGUGGCGAAGGCGGCCAAACUGGACGAAUACUGACGCUGAGAACACGAAAGCGUGGGGAGCAAACAGG
rnacentral:rRNA from 1 species